rnacentral:tRNA from 1 species
GCGGGUUUGGUGCAAUGGUAAGCAUUUCAGUCUCCAAAACUGAAGAUGAAAGUUCGAGUCUUUCAGCCCGUG